AUCCAGACGACAGGUCCCAAAUAGGACGAAAUGCGCAUCCUGGAU
rnacentral:hammerhead_ribozyme from 1 species